rnacentral:sRNA from 3 species
GGCUGACUGAGGAGGAAGACAUGGGAUUGACGCGAUCCAUCAACGUCCUAGUGGUUGGUGCGGCCUUCAUUUUCGUCGUAACGAUGCUUUUCAUCUAACGGCAUGACGAUCACCGCAGGCGACCGAACUCCGAAAAGCUAACAAAACGACUAUUCCAUUAAAAAAGCGCAUGCCCGGGAGGGACAUGCGCUUU